rnacentral:rRNA from 1 species
CGGGUGAGUAACGCGUGGGUAACCUGCCUUAUACAGGGGGAUAACAGUCAGAAAUGGCUGCUAAUACCGCAUAAGCGCACAGAGCUGCAUGGCUCAGUGUGAAAAACUCCGGUGGUAUAAGAUGGACCCGCGUUGGAUUAGCUUGUUGGCAGGGUAACGGCCUACCAAGGCGACGAUCCAUAGCCGGCCUGAGAGGGUGAACGGCCACAUUGGGACUGAGACACGGCCCAGACUCCUACGGGAGGCAGCAUG